GAUGAACGCUGGCGGCGUGCCUAAUACAUGCAAGUCGAGCGAACAGACGAGGAGCUUGCUCCUCUGACGUUAGCGGCGGACGGGUGAGUAACACGUGGAUAACCUACCUAUAAGACUGGGAUAACUUCGGGAAACCGGAGCUAAUACCGGAUAAUAUAUUGAACCGCAUGGUUCAAUAGUGAAAGACGGUUUUGCUGUCACUUAUAGAUGGAUCCGCGCCGCAUUAGCUAGUUGGUAAGGUAACGGCUUACCAAGGCAACGAUGCGUAGCCGACCUGAGAGGGUGAUCGGCCACACUGGAACUGAGACACGGUCCAGACUCCUACGGGAGGCAGCAGUAGGGAAUCUUCCGCAAUGGGCGAAAGCCUGACGGAGCAACGCCGCGUGAGUGAUGAAGGUCUUCGGAUCGUAAAACUCUGUUAUUAGGGAAGAACAAAUGUGUAAUUAACUAUGCACGUCUUGACGGUACCUAAUCAGAAAGCCACGGCUAACUACGUG
rnacentral:rRNA from 1 species